AACUACAGCCAUAUCACCCUGCAGCCCAAGACUGGUUGCCCACUGAAGCUAAGCAGGGUUGAGCUUGGUCAGUACCUGGAUGGGAGACCUCCUGGGAAAACUAGGUUGCUGUUGGCA
rnacentral:rRNA from 1 species